rnacentral:lncRNA from 1 species
CUGGCAGCUGAAGCACUUCAAACUGUGUUCCCACUUCAACUGUUUGGGUUUUGCUUCAAAUAUCUCAGCCUUUUCCCCUUCUUUUCCUGCAGACAAUGCCAUGACCCAGAUGGGAGUGCAGAGCAGGUCUGGACUGACAGGACAGUCAUCCAUGACCACAUCAGCCUGACAUUCCCUGAUGAUGGCAACGGGAUGAACUCGGAGCAGCUGCACAAAAUACUAAGUAUUUGGUACCCGAAGCCGAGCACGCAGAUCAUCCUGGGAGGACAAAGAGCCAAAACACAGCUGGUUUCCAAAGCUGUCUUCCCCCACACUUGUCAUGUGGGCACAGGGAUACCACACUUGCAAGGGCUUCUCCAAAGGUUUUUCUGCCAGGAGUGCUCCAGGCUUUCAGAAGGUAACUUUCCAGCCCAGAACAGAAACACGGACCUGCUGCC